rnacentral:rRNA from 1 species
GACGAACGCUGGCGGCGUGCUUAACACAUGCAAGUCGAACGGAGUGGCGAACGGGUGAGUAACACGUGGGUGACCUGCCCUGCACUUCGGGAUAAGCCUGGGAAACUGGGUCUAAUACCGGAUAGUGUGGGAUGGGCGCGAGGCCUCUCAGCUUGUGGGUGGGGUAAUGGCGUAACAAGGCGGCGACGGGUAGCCGGCCUGCGAGGGUGGACGGUCACAUUGGGACUGGGACACGGUGCGGAGGCCUACGGGAGGCAGCAGUGGGGAAUAUUGCACAAUGGGCGGAAGGCUGAUGCAGCGACGUCGCGGGGGGGAGGACGGUCUUCGGGGUGUAAACGCCUUUCACCAUCGACGCGGUAGAUGGAGAAGAAGCACCGGCUAACUACGGGCCAGCAGCCGCGGUAAUUC